AACGAACGCUGGCGGCGUGGAUAAGACAUGCAAGUCGAGCGGUCACCAUCUUGCAGCAAUGUAGGGUGGUGAUAGCGGCGCACGGGUGAGUAACGCGUGGGUUACCUACCCUGAAGACUGGGAUAAUCCCGCGAAAGCGGGACUAAUACCGGAUGUGGUUUCUCGAGGAAAGCCUCGGGAAAUUAAAGCUGGGGACCGAAAGGCCUGGCGCUUCAGGAUGGGCCCGCGUCCUAUCAGCUAGUUGGUGAGGUAAUGGCUCACCAAGGCUAAGACGGGUAGCUGGUCUGAGAGGACGACCAGCCACACUGGAACUGAGACACGGUCCAGACACCUACGGGUGGCAGCAGUCGAGAAUUUUUCACAAUGGGCGAAAGCCUGAUGGAGCGACGCCGCGUGGGGGAUGAAGGGCUUCGGCCUGUAAACCCCUGUCAGCCACGACCAAAGUCCCUUGCCUAACAAGUGAGGGAUCUGAUGGUAGUGGCAGAGGAAGGGACGGCUAACUCUGUGCCAGCAGCCGCGGUAAGACAGAGGUCCCGAGCGUUGUUCGGAUUCACUGGGCGUAAAGGGUGCGUAGGCGGUUGGGUAAGUCCGACGUGAAAUCCCGUGGCUUAACCACGGAAUUGCGUUGGAAACUAUCCAGCUCGAGGGUUGGAGAGGGGACUGGAAUUCUCGGUGUAGCAGUGAAAUGCGUAGAUAUCGAGAAGAACACCGGUGGCGAAGGCGAGUCCCUGGACAACUCCUGACGCUGAGGCACGAAAGCUAGGGGAGCAAACAGGAUUAGAUACCCUGGUAGUCCUAGCCGUAAACGGUGCACGUUUGCUAUGGGUGGAAUCGACCCCAUCCGUGGCGAAGCUAACGCGUUAAACGUGCCGCCUGGGGAGUACGGCCGCAAGGUUAAAACUCAAAGAAAUUGACGGGGGCCUGCACAAGCGGUGGAGUAUGUGGCUUAAUUCGAUGCAACGCGAAGAACCUUACCUGGCCUUGACAUGCACGUGGUAGGAGCCCGAAAGGGUAACGACCCCGCAAGGGGAGCGUGCACAGGUGCUGCAUGGCUGUCGUCAGCUCGUGUCGUGAGAUGUUGGGUUAAGUCCCGCAACGAGCGCAACCUUCGUGUCCUGUUGCUACCAGACCAAAAAAUCUGGGCACUCUGGACAGACUGCCUCAUUUAAAUGAGGAGGAAGGUGGGGAUGACGUCAAGUCAGGAUGGCCCUUAUGGCCAGGGCUGCACACGUACUACAAUGCCCGGUACAAUGGGAUGCAAUACCGUAAGGUGGAGCAAAUCCCCAAAAACCGGGCCCAGUUCAGAUUGUCGUCUGCAACUCGACGGCAUGAAGCCGGAAUCGCUAGUAAUGGCGCAUCAGCUACGGCGCCGUGAAUACGUUCCCAGGCCUUGUACACACCGCCCGUCACAUCACGAAAGCCGGCUGUACCCGAAGUCGCUGAGCCAACCGCAAGGAGGCAGGCGCCGAAGGUAUGGCUGGUGAUUGGGAUG
rnacentral:rRNA from 1 species